rfam:Desulfosporosinus meridiei DSM 13257, complete genome.
CAUAUCCUAGCUGGUGCGUAUAGACUACCAUGGUUUUGAUCCUAUUAUGUGACAAGGGAGCUAAAUGCCGGAUAAUUACAACAAGCCCUCUUUGAGGAAGGGAAGUUGGAAAGUUCGAACUAAGUACCCACCUGCGAGAGCAGGGUCAGAAACCUGGAGUCUUACGGCAAGUUGGGGGAAGG